rnacentral:rRNA from 1 species
GAUGAACGCUGGCGGCGUGCCUAAUACAUGCAAGUCGAGCGAACGGACGAGAAGCUUGCUUCUCUGAUGUUAGCGGCGGACGGGUGAGUAACACGUGGAUAACCUACCUAUAAGACUGGGAUAACUUCGGGAAACCGGAGCUAAUACCGGAUAAUAUUUUGAACCGCAUGGUUCAAAAGUGAAAGACGGUUUUGCUGUUACUUAUAGAUGGAUCCGCGCUGCAUUAGCUAGUUGGUAAGGUAACGGCUUACCAAGGCAACGAUGCAUAGCCGACCUGAGAGGGUGAUCGGCCACACUGGAACUGAGACACGGUCCAGACUCCUACGGGAGGCAGCAGUAGGGAAUCUUCCGCAAUGGGCGAAAGCCUGACGGAGCAACGCCGCGUGAGUGAUGAAGGUCUUCGGAUCGUAAAACUCUGUUAUUAGGGAAGAACAUAUGUGUAAGUAACUGUGCACAUCUUGACGGUACCUAAUCAGAAAGCCACGGCUAACUACGUG